CUCCUUGAGGCAGCUCAGAAUUCACUGCAGAACUCCUAUGCUGUGUUCAUCCUCUCCAGCCUCCUCCCAGCAGACCAAAGCUUGCAAAAUAAAGUGAUCCUCCCAAUCAAGAAGCCAGGAUUCAGACCCCGAUCCACUCACUCUACAGGCUCCCAAGGAGUUUACCACACUGCUGCUGCUGCUGCUACUGUGGAGAGAAUGCAGGCCUAGCCGCCCAACCACACUUCCAUCUGGCUUUCCUUGAGACAUAAGGGAGCCAAAGAGAGGAGCGCUGGAGGCUGGAAGCCAGUGAAUAGGAUAGCUCUGUGGAAAGAUGGACAGCUGCCCUCUGCCUGUACCACUCACAGGUGAUAAUUUCUUGAGCCCACGCCUCCAGCUUUGGACUCCAGCAGAAAGAGCUUCCAAUGCCAGCCCAUCAUGGUGUGGGCAUCCCACUGAACUUGGAGAGUCCAGGUCCUGGGGUAGUGCUGUCUUACACCAAGCUUUGCAGCCAUGCCUUCUUGAGUACUCAUCACACACAACAGGCUUCAUGCAUGUGUGAAAUCAAAGGAAAUUCAUGUUUCUGCAAGUAAGCAAGAAAAGGCCUGGUGGAAGCGGGCUUAUCCCUGACCAAGAAAACAAUCAAGGUACAGAGCAGGCCUAGGAAGCCACCAGUACAAAGCUACCCUCUGCCUGGUCUCCAGAGACAGACAAGCAUACAGUCAAGUGACACAGGCCUAAUAGUGGGGAUGUGCCAGGGAGAGUUGGCUUGUGCCUUUUCUGGCCCAAAGAGGACAUCCCCUUUGAGGCUAGUCCAAGGAUAUCCUCCCAGAGACUCCAAUUCACCUGCAUAGACCCCUGUCAGGAAGACCGCAGCUCUCUGUCUAUAGGCCCUCCCUGGCUUCCUGGGUGAUGGAUGGCUCAAGAGUUGCACAUUUUUGUCCUGUCAAGAAAACACAAACAAUUCAAUACCAGGAGGAAAGGGCCCUAUUCCCUGUUGGCCCCUGGAGGAAUCCCCAGGGAACUUUACCCACGUCACAGAGGCCAUAGAGAAAGGGAAAACAGCUGGGCCUCUGGGACCUGGGAGCAGAAGGUAGAUUUAUUAUUUUGCAAUGAUUAAACCAACAGUCUACAAUUGAUUCCUUCUUGCAAAACCCACUGCUCAGGCACAAGAAACAAUGCAGGGUGACCUGGGUGCCAGUGGUCACUUUGUCCCUACCCUUACACCCACCCCACCCAGAUGCUACCUCUGGUAGACAUCCCCACUCUGGCCGGCAGCCAGGUCCUCGCCUACCUCCCACUCCAUUCCCCAUCUGCAAUUGUUUCCAAUCAUUUUAGGAAACAGCUCUGAGGACAAUUAGAAAAGAUAACAAGGAAGAAUUACAUAAUUACAGUCCGCCUAGAUCUCAGGCACUCCAAAAAAUAA